rnacentral:rRNA from 1 species
CUGAGAGGGUGUACGGCCACACUGGAACUUAGACACGGUCCAGACUCCUACGGGAGGCAGCAGUGGGGAAUAUUGGGCAAUGGGCGAAAGCCUGACCCAGCAAUGCCGUGUGGGCGAUGAAGUCCUUCGGGAUGUAAAGCCCUUUUAUGAGGGAAGAAAGAUAUGCAGGCUAAUACCUUGCAUGUUUGACGGUACUUCAUGAAUAAGCCCCGGCUAACUCCGUGCCAGCAGCCGCGGUAAUACGGAGGGGGCAAGCGUUGUUCGGAAUCACUGGGCGUAAAGGGCGCGUAGGCGGUUAUGCUAGUCAGGUGUGAAAUCCCCAGGCUUAACUUGGGAACUGCGCUUGAAACUGCAUAGCUUGAGGCCGGGAGAGGAAAGUGGAAUUCCUGGUGUAGCGGUGAAAUGCGUAGAUAUCAGGAGGAACACCGGUGGCGAAGGCGGCUUUCUGGACCGGUUCUGACGCUGAAGCGCGAAAGCGUGGGGAGCAAACGGGAUUAGAUACCCCGGUAGUCCACGCUGUAAACGAUGAGCACUAGGUGUAGCGGGUAUCGACCCCUGCUGUGCCGCAGCUAACGCAAUAA